rnacentral:piRNA from 1 species
UGCCCAAGGAUGCUGUCAAGCACCUGCA